rnacentral:rRNA from 1 species
GGCGGUCUGUCAAGUCGGAUGUGAAAUCCCCGGGCUCAACCUGGGAACUGCAUUCGAAACUGGCAGGCUAGAGUCUUGUAGAGGGGGGUAGAAUUCCAGGUGUAGCGGUGAAAUGCGUAGAGAUCUGGAGGAAUACCGGUGGCGAAGGCGGCCCCCUGGACAAAGACUGACGCUCAGGUGCGAAAGCGUGGGGAGCAAACAGGAUUAGAUACCCUGGUAGUCCACGCCGUAAACGAUGUCGAUUUGGAGGUUGUGCCCUUGAGGCGUGGCUUCCGGAGCUAACGCGUUAAAUCGACCGCCUGGGGAGUACGGCCGCAAGGUUAAAACUCAAAUGAAUUGACGGGGGCCCGCACAAGCGGUGGAGCAUGUGGUUUAAUUCGAUGCAACGCGAAGAACCUUACCUG